UGCUAUGUUGUAGCAGAUUACACAACCUACAGGAAGAAAGAAAAAUCAAAGGAACACACAGGGAAGGAGAUGAGAACAACGAGUUGGGAAGUCAAAAGAGAAGAACUGAAGUAGAAGAGGGAAGAUUAAGAGACAAAGAGGAAUAUAGAGACAACAAAGAGAGUGACCAUAUAUUUUCAAGUGUCAGUACCGAAUGUAACGAGUGGAGUUCCACAGGAGUCUGUGCUGGUUACGAAUGAUUGUGACCAGGUGAAUGUGUUUGACAGGAGACGGGUGAAUGAGAAAUGCAAAUUGAAAUAUUACUCAUGUCUGACGUCUGUGUGAUAUAAUGUUCAUAAAUUACCCCUCAGAGGAUCAAAGAAAGAUGACCAAAUUUCUACCAAAUCAUGCUCCCAGCGUUAAUGACAAUGAGGGAGGAGGAAACUAUGGCAAAAACUUUGCUUUACAACAAAGGCAUGGAUCAUCAGGAUUUAGCCAAUGGAUUGAUGUGGGGUUUGAACUGUUGAUGUGACAGAGAAGAUUGCACAGCUAAAGUAAAUGUGCCCAAUAACUGGAUAAGACCUGCCUUUACUCGUUUGCCUACUUAUUUGCAUAACAAAGAAGAAACAUUUCUCCCGUAAUCCCUCAACAUUUGGAUAAUGGGAAUUGAAAUUGUGCAAUGAAAUCACUUUGCCCGUUCACAUUAGACAAUAAGCCUCCAUCAAGAAGAGAUUACAACAUUUUGCUGCUGAUUGAAGUCAGACUAACUGGCCAGUGUUUCAUGUUUCUUUCCUCUCCUUCAUUGGUUGGAUAGUAGAGAUGCAUUUGUAAAUCUCCAAUUUGUGGGACCAUUUUAGAAUU